rnacentral:rRNA from 1 species
GACGAACGCUGGCGGCGUGCUUAACACAUGCAAGUGGAGCGACGAACCAGGCUUCGGCCUGGGGCAAAGCCGCGAACGGGUGAGUAACACGUGGGUAACCUGCCCCGAUGACUGGGACAACCCGGGGAAACCCGGGCUAAUACCGGAUGUGCUGUCCUCACAUCAGUGGAGAUAGGAAAGGAAGCUUCGGCCUCCGCAUCGGGAUGGGCCCGCGGCCCAUUAGCUUGUUGGUGAGGUUAACGGCUCACCAAGGCCGCGAUGGGUAGCUGGUCUGAGAGGACGAUCAGCCACACUGGGACUGAGACACGGCCCAGACUCCUACGGGUGGCUG